rnacentral:snRNA from 1 species
UCGGGAGCUUUCCCCGGGCG